ensembl:lncRNA
GGCACGUUCAGGCUUUGUCACGGCGUAAUGAGGUGAUCACCUCAAGGCUAAUUUGUUGUUUUUAUAGUUUUAGAGCGGCGCUGGUGGCGCGUGCAUUGAGGCCAAUUGGCGCCGGAGAUCGCGUAAAGUGAUCGCAGUAUUUAGCUGGUGGCUGAAUGUGUAUGUAUGUUGAGCCCCGGUACCUGUGAGUAAUCAUACAACUUCGCAUCUGGUGUUUGUUCAAUCUAAUGGAGCCAGUGAGUCUUGGUGGGACAGGGGAGGCUAGCUGCAUUUAUACGGUGGUGUGCUUCACAGCGUGCUCAGUGUGCCAACACAACAACUUCCUUAUGGUGUGCCUGCAAAAUUAAGGUGCCUUAGUAAGGUGUUGUGGACCAUUAGCCACCAGAACUUUCUAAAACUACUGGAGGUAUGAAUACUCUGAAUAAUACCAAG